UGAAAGGUAAAGUCAACCUCGGUGGAAUUUGAACUCAGAACAUAAAGAUCCGGAAGAAAGGUUGCUAAGUAUUGUGUCCCACGUGUUAAUGAUUCUGCCA